UGGGGAAUAUUGCACAAUGGGGGAAACCCUGAUGCAGCGACGCCGCGUGGAGGAAGAAGGUCUUCGGAUUGUAAACUCCUGUUGUUGGGGAAAAGAAGGAUGGUACCCAACAAGGAAGUGACGGCUAACUACGUGCCAGCAGCCGCGGUAAAACGUAGGUCACGAGCGUUGUCCGGAAUUACUGGGUGUAAAGGGAGCGCAGGCGGGUAUGCAAGUUGGGAGUGAAAUACAUGGGCUCAACCCAUGAACUGCUCUCAAAACUGUGUAUCUUGAGUAGUGCAGAGGUAGGCGGAAUUCCCGGUGUAGCGGUGGAAUGCGUAGAUAUCGGGAGGAACACCAGUGGCGAAGGCGGCCUGCUGGGCACCAACUGACGCUGAGGCUCGAAAGUGUGGGUAGCAAACAGG
rnacentral:rRNA from 1 species